GGGGAAUCUUCCGCAAUGGACGAAAGUCUGACGGAGCAACGCCGCGUGAGUGAUGACGGCCUUCGGGCUGUAAAGCUCUGUUAAUCGGGACGAAUGGUUCUUGUGCAAAUAGUGCGAGGAUUUGACGGUACCGGAAUAGAAAGCCACGGCUAACUACGUGCCAGCAGCCGCGGUAAUACGUAGGUGGCAAGCGUUGUCCGGAAUUAUUGGGCGUAAAGCGCGCGCAGGCGGAUUGGUCAGUCUGUCUUAAAAGUUCGGGGCUUAACCCCGUGAUGGGAUGGAAACUGCCAAUCUAGAGUAUCGGAGAGGAAAGUGGAAUCCCUAGUGUAGCGGUGAAAUGCGUAGAUAUUAGGAAGAACACCAGUGGCGAAGGCGACUUUCUGGACGAAAACUGACGCUGAGGCGCGAAAGCCAGGGGAGCGAACGGGAUUAGAUACCCCGGUAGUCCUGGCCGUAAACGAUGGGUACUAGGUGUAGGAGGUAUCGACCCCUUCUGUGCCGGAGUUAACGCAAUAAGUACCCCGCCUGGGGAGUACGACCGCAAGGUUG
rnacentral:rRNA from 1 species